rnacentral:rRNA from 1 species
UACGGGGGGGGUAAGCGUUGUUCGGAAUUACUGGGCGUAAAGGGCUCGUAGGCGGCCAACUAAGUCAGACGUGAAAUCCCUCGGCUCAACCGGGGAACUGCGUGUGAUACUGGCGGGCUUGAAUUCGGGAGAGGGAUGUGGAAUUCCAGGUGUAGCGGUGAAAUGCGUAGAUAUCUGGAGGAACACCGGUGGCGAAGGCGGCAUCCUGGACCGAGAUUGACGCUGAGGCGCGAAAGCUAGGGGAGCAAACGGG